AUGAAGGUACUUCUCCGAAAUAGCUUUCAGACGUGUGUGGCACGGAUGGGUCUGUAGGAUAAAGCUGAGUUCACAAAGACUUGGGAGCACCAAGAUGGAGAUUGUGAGCUCGGGUGUGGCACUCCCAAGCCUUGGUAACACAUGAGAAGAGGCCAAGAGAAGAAGAGAGCUAGCUAAUAGAAGCAUCAGCCAGGAUAGGAGC
rnacentral:lncRNA from 1 species